rnacentral:rRNA from 1 species
UGACCUCGGAUCAGGUAGGGAUACCCGCUGAACUUAAGCAUAUCAAUAAGCGGAGGAAAAGAAACCAACAGGGAUUGCCCCAGUAACGGCGAGUGAAGCGGCAAGAGCUCAAAUUUGAAAGCUGGCCCCUUCGGGGUCCGCAUUGUAAUUUGCAGAGGAUGCUUCGGAGGUAGCCCCCGUCUAAGUACCCUGGAACGGGUCGUCAUAGAGGGUGAGAAUCCCGUAUGGGACGGGGUGCCUGCCACCGUGUGAAGCUCCUUCGACGAGUCGAGUUGUUUGGGAAUGCAGCUCUAAAUGGGUGGUAAAUUUCAUCUAAAGCUAAAUAUUGGCCGGAGACCGAUAGCGCACAAGUAGAGUGAUCGAAAGAUGAAAAGCACUUUGAAAAGAGAGUUAAAAAGCACGUGAAAUUGUUGAAAGGGAAGCGCUUGCGACCAGACUCGCCCACGGGGUUCAGCCGGCAUUCGUGCCGGUGUACUUCCCCGCGGGCGGGCCAGCGUCGGUUUGGGCGGCCGGUCAAAGGCCCUCGGAAUGUAACGCCCCCCGGGGCGUCUUAUAGCCGAGGGUGCCAUGCGGCCUGCCCGGACCGAGGAACGCGCUUCGGCUCG